GUGCCCGGAGUAGUAAACAGAUAUGGGCUCGAAACUUAAAGAAUUUGGCGGUAUCUAAGUCUAGUUAGAGGAACCUGUGCUAUAAACGAUAAACCGCGAGUAUCUUGCUUUGUCUGGGUAAUUCAGUACGUAUACCGCCAUUAUAGAUAAUCUUUGAAGGGGUUUAUUUAAGUAGAUUAACAUUUAGUAUAUUAGGUCAAGGUGCGGCUGAUGGCAAAGUAGUCAUGGGUUACAGUCGAGUGAGUUGUCGGAUAAACUCAGGAAGAUUUGAGAGUUGAAGUUGGAUUUAAUAGU
rnacentral:rRNA from 1 species